CCUACGGGAGGCAGCAGUAGGGAAUAUUGGGCAAUGGAGGCAACUCUGACCCAGCCAUGCCGCGUGCAGGACGAAGGCGUUAUGCGUUGUAAACUGCUUUUAUAUAGGAAGAAAUAGACCUUGCGAGGUAAGUUGACGGUACUAUAUGAAUAAGCACCGGCUAACUCCGUGCCAGCAGCCGCGGUAAUACGGAGGGUGCAAGCGUUGUCCGGAUUUAUUGGGUUUAAAGGGUGCGUAGGCGGUUUAUUAAGUCAGUGGUGAAAGACGGUCGCUCAACGAUUGCAGUGCCAUUGAUACUGGUAGACUUGAGUAUGAUUGAGGUAGCUGGAAUGGAUAGUGUAGCGGUGAAAUGCAUAGAUAUUAUCCAGAACACCAAUUGCGUAGGCAAGUUACUAAGUCAUAACUGACGCUGAGGCACGAAAGUGUGGGUAUCAAACAGGAUUAGAUACCCUGGUAGUCCACACUGUAAACGAUGAUAACUAACUGUUGGCUUUCGGGUCAGUGGUACAGAGAAAUCGUUAAGUUAUCCACCUGGGGAGUACGCCGGCAACGGUGAAACUCAAGGAAUUGACGGCGNGAGAGNGCGAGACGACGACGAGGGAGGAGG
rnacentral:rRNA from 1 species